GACGAACGCUGGCGGCGUGCCUAAUACAUGCAAGUAGGACGCAGUUGCGAACGGGUGAGUAACGCGUCGGUAACUGCCUAUUAGAGGGGGAUAACUAUUGGAAACGAUAGCUAAUACCGCAUACUAGUAGAUGGACCUGCUUUGUAUUAGCUUGUAGGUUGGGUAAUGGCCUACCUAGGCAACGAUACAUAGCCGACCUGGGAGGGGGUCCGGCCACACUGGGACUGGGACACGGCCCAGACUCCUACGGGAGGCAGCAGUAGGGAAUCUUCGGCAAUGGGGGGAAGCAUGACCGAGCAACGCCGCGUGAGUGAAGAAGGUUUUCGGGUCGUAAAGCUCUGUUGUUCAGGAAGCGGUACUUGACCAGAAAGGGACGGCUAACUACGUGCCAGCAGCCGCGGUAAUAC
rnacentral:rRNA from 1 species